CAACUCUUAGAUAACUGUCAAAUGGGGAUACUUGGGUGAUUAAACCCCUUGGCUGUUUAUUAAUUACUUUUUAAAGGCAUUAAUGGUGUAAGACACACAAUAAUUCUUUUGGAGUCUGACAUGUGAUAUUACAGGGAACUUGGGCCGGUUGCUUCUCCACUGAGAGGGGAGGGUUGGAAAGCAUAGUCGUUAUUAUAUUUUACUGUAUAUCUGAAAAAAUGAAUUUGACAAGGACGUGCUUGCUGGUGGGGAAAAGGUUCAGGAAGACGACCUGAAGAGCUCUAGGACUCAGACGAAGCUUCCCCUGCAGCCUGGGAGUGUUGUAGGGAUAUGAAAGUCAGCACUAACACUGCACAACUGGCUUCUGAAUGUCCACAAUGACUGAAGUCAACUACAAAUCAACAAGCCCUCUUCCUGUUGAGAAAAGAUCAUGGAUUACUUACCAUUUGUGUCCUGACAUGUCUUCCUCCUCUUUUUCUACUGUUGAUGAUUUGGGGAGAAGGAGCAGGAUGAAGCAUGAGAGGGUAUGUUACAUUAAACCUGAAAUAAAACAAAUUCAUGUAAUAGUUA